AGUGAACGCUGGCGGUAGGCCUAACACAUGCAAGUCGAACGGCAGCACAGUAAGAGCUUGCUCUUACGGGUGGCGAGUGGCGGACGGGUGAGGAAUACAUCGGAAUCUACUUUUUCGUGGGGGAUAACGUAGGGAAACUUACGCUAAUACCGCAUACGACCUACGGGUGAAAGCAGGGGAUCUUCGGACCUUGCGCGAUUGAAUGAGCCGAUGUCGGAUUAGCUAGUUGGCGGGGUAAAGGCCCACCAAGGCGACGAUCCGUAGCUGGUCUGAGAGGAUGAUCCGCCACACUGGAACUGAGACACGGUCCAGACUCUUACUGGAGGCAGCAGUGUGGAAUAUUGGCUAAUGGGCUCAAGCCUGAUCCAGCCAUACCGCGUGGGUGAAGAAGGCCUUCGGGUUGUAAAGCCCUUUUGUUGGGAAAGAAAAGCAGCAGGUUAAUACCCCGCUGUUCUGACGGUACCCAAAGAAUAAGCACCGGCUAACUUCGUG
rnacentral:rRNA from 1 species